rnacentral:rRNA from 1 species
GGUAACCUAGCCUGCUCUUUUUGCGAUGAAGUUGAGACAUCCAUUCAUCUCUUUUUUACCUGUCCCGUGGCCCGUGUGGUAUGGAGAUCCAUUGGGGUGGUUCUGGGGACUAACUGGUGCCCUAAUGAUUACUGGCAAUACUAUGUUUGGUGUCACAAAUUUCUCCCUGAUGAACCCCAGCUGUAUACGGUUGGUCAGGCUGCUGCCACCUGGGCCAUCUGGCUAGCUCGUAACACGGUCACUUUUGAGAAAAAUUUGAUUAAAUCUCCUUUUGAGAUUGUUUUCUCGAUGUGUUCCUUUCUUCUAUAUUGGGCAGGUCUUCAACCAGCAGGGGAAGUGGAGAAGCUGCGACAUGGCGCGGAGAUGGUGAGAACCAGUACAAUGAAUCUGAUGAAACUCUGCGAGACAUCUAGGCAUCUGGGCGAUGAUGCGGGGGGGCGUACUUUCCUGGUGAUCAAGCAGCAGUCUUUCGAUUCCAAGUCCGAGUUGAUGAAUCGGUACUAUCAUGUGAUGGGUUCGCAUCCUGUCGGUAGUUUAUCUCUUUUGGGUUCUCUCGGUGGCCAGAACUGA